AACGAACGCUGGCGGCAUGCCUAACACAUGCAAGUCGAACGAGACCUUCGGGUCUAGUGGCGCACGGGUGCGUAACGCGUGGGAACCUGCCCUUAGGUUCGGAAUAACUCCCCGAAAGGGGUGCUAAUACCGGAUAAUGUCUUCGGACCAAAGAUUUAUCGCCUUUGGAUGGGCCCGCGUUGGAUUAGCUAGUUGGUAGGGUAAAAGCCUACCAAGGCGACGAUCCAUAGCUGGUCUGAGAGGAUGAUCAGCCACACUGGGACUGAGACACGGCCCAGACUCCUACGGGAGGCAGCAGUGGGGAAUAUUGGACAAUGGGCGAAAGCCUGAUCCAGCAAUGCCGCGUGAGUGAUGAAGGCCUUAGGGUUGUUAAGCUCUUUUACCCGGGAUGAUAAUGACAGUACCGGGAGAAUAAGCUCCGGCUAACUCCGUG
rnacentral:rRNA from 1 species